rnacentral:rRNA from 1 species
UAACGCUGAGGUGUGAUGACGAGGCACUACGGUGCUGAAGUAACAAAUGCCCUGCUUCCAGGAAAAGCCUCUAAGCAUCAGGUAACAUCAAAUCGUACCCCAAACCGACACAGGUGGUCAGGUAGAGAAUACCAAGGCGCUUGAGAGAACUCGGGUGAAGGAACUAGGCAAAAUGGUGCCGUAACUUCGGGAGAAGGCACGCUGAUAUGUAGGUGAAGUGGUUUACCCAUGGAGCUGAAAUCAGUCGAAGAUACCAGCUGGCUGCAACUGUUUAUUAAAAACACAGCACUGUGCAAACACGAAAGUGGACGUAUACGGUGUGACGCCUGCCCGGUGCCGGAAGGUUAAUUGAUGGGGUUAGCGGCAACGCGAAGCUCUUGAUCGAAGCCCCGGUAAACGGCGGCCGUAACUAUAACGGUCCUAAGGUAGCGAAAUUCCUUGUCGGGUAAGUUCCGACCUGCACGAAUGGCGUAAUGAUGGCCAGGCUGUCUCCACCCGAGACUCAGUGAAAUUGAACUCGCUGUGAAGAUGCAGUGUACCCGCGGCAAGACGGAAAGACCCCGUGAACCUUUACUAUAGCUUGACACUGAACACUGGUCCUUGAUGUGUAGGAUAGGUGGGAGGCUUUGAAGUGUGGACGCCAGUUCGCAUGGAGCCAACCUUGAAAUACCACCCUUUAAUGGCUGGUGUUCUAACGUAGACCCGUAAUCCGGGUUGCGGACAGUGUCUGGUGGGUAGUUUGACUGGGGCGGUCUCCUCCUAAAGAGUAACGGAGGAGCACGAAGGUUAGCUAAUCCUGGUCGGACAUCAGGAGGUUAGUGCAAAGGCAUAAGCUAGCUUGACUGCGAGAGUGACGGCUCGAGCAGGUGCGAAAGCAGGUCUUAGUGAUCCGGUGGUUCUGUAUGGAAGGGCCAUCGCUCAACGGAUAAAAGGUACUCCGGGGAUAACAGGCUGAUACCGCCCAAGAGUUCAUAUCGACGGCGGUGUUUGGCACCUCGAUGUCGGCUCAUCACAUCCUGGGGCUGAAGUAGGUCCCAAGGGUAUGGCUGUUCGCCAUUUAAAGUGGUACGCGAGCUGGGUUUAGAACGUCGUGAGACAGUUCGGUCCCUAUCUGCCGUGGGCGCUGGAGAAUUGAGGGGGGCUGCUCCUAGUACGAGAGGACCGGAGUGGACGCAUCACUGGUGUUCGGGUUGUCAUGCCAAUGGCAUUGCCCGGUAGCUAAAUGCGGAAAAGAUAAGUGCUGAAAGCAUCUAAGCACGAAACUUGCCCCAAGAUGAGUUCUCCCUGACUCCUUGAGAGUCCUGAAGGAACGUUGAAGACGACGACGUUGAUAGGCUGGGUGUGUAAGCGUAGCGAUACGUUGAGCUAACCAGUACUAAUGAACCGUGAGGCUUAACCUUACAACGCCGAAG